CGCACACAAGCACCCUAGCUACUAGACAUCACAAGCAAGCAUCCCACAAAUAUAUUCCUGUGAGAGUGGUGGCCAUGGCUAACCCUUCCUAUUACCAGACCUGUGCGCCCGUUAGGUCACAGGUGCAGCAGCAGGAGCAUGUCUUCCACCUCUACGCGCACCAGCAGAUGUGCAGCAACGAGUACAACAUCGUGCCGGCGAAGAGCGGACUCCCCAACCAUUUUGGUUCCACAAACGUUACGGACUGGGAUCUGCGCGGUUCUCCAGACACCGUUUCAACGGUUGUUGCGCGGUUGCAGGGCGUCGGCAUCGCCGCAAGGAAGAGCAGCGAAAGCUGGUAUCUCUCUUCCAUCAUAUAUAGCGUUCACCGAUCAGAGGUUCAAGGGGUCCACCCUCAGUGUGCAAGGAAUUAUUGGCCCCGCGAGUAGUGGAGAUGAAGGUGAUUGGGCAGUUGUAGGGGGCACUGGGGAGUUUGUUUAUGCACAAGGUACUUGCAAGUAUAAAAGGAUUCAGACCGUUGCCGGAGGGCUUAUCAACGAGCUUCGCAUUCGUGUUGUGUGCCUCACCUUACCAAAGCCGAAGCCCGUCCAGAAGAUUGGGCCGUGGGGUGGGAAUGGAGGGAAAGCCUACGAACUCCAAGAUGGAGAACUACCUCAGCGCCUUGAAAGCCUAACCAUCUACGCUGACGAUUUCAUCCAAUCCAUUGCGUUUUCCUACAUCGACCAAGCUGGCCAGAAGCGGACUGUUGGUCCGUGGGGUGGUAGCAAUGGAAAGUCUGAGUACCCGACCAUACAGUUCGGUCCUUCGGAGAGUGUGAUGGUGAUCUACGGGGCAACUGGUAAUUACGGAGGGAACACUACUGUCGUGACAUCGCUGACCAUUGUCACCAAUGUCAGCACCUACGGGCCAUACGGGAAACACUCCAUGGGCAAUACUCCGUUCCAUGUGCAGCCCCCGAGCAACCACAGCAUUGUGGGGUUCUAUGGCCGUGUUGGCCAAGUUCUCGAUCAGAUUGGAGCAUACGUGACCGAGAACUAGUGCCAGCAAGUGUUGCUUCUCGUCACAAGAAUACUCAUAAUGAAGGCUUCAUCAAGCACUCCAUGCAUGCAUGUCUUCCGCUUUUAAUUUUUAAUGUUCAAAUAGUAAUGAGAAGCAGGACACGGGCUGUCCUGAUAUGAUCAAUCUCCAUGCAUGUACUAGUUGGUUUCGUCACUGUGUCAUGCUACAGGCUCCAUGCAUGUCGCUAGCCUGAGAAAUAAAUUAAGUGUCGGUGUUAUUAUCAUUUCAUCUUA